UACGUAGGGUGCAAGCGUUAAUCGGAAUUACUGGGCGUAAAGCGUACGCAGGCGGCUUUGCAAGACAGGUGUGAAAUCCCCGGGCCUAACCUGGGAACUGCAUUUGUGACUGCAUGGCUAGAGUUUGUCAGAGGGGGGUGGAAUUCCACGUGUAGCAGUGAAAUGCGUAGAUAUGUGGAGGAACACCGAUGGCGAAGGCAGCCCCCUGGGAUAUGACUGACGCUCAUGUACGAAAGCGUGGGGAGCAAACAGG
rnacentral:rRNA from 1 species